rnacentral:misc_RNA from 1 species
UAGACUAGCUUGCCUUAAAUGUAUUAGCUGAUCCAUGUUGCAGACCUGGUUCUACUUAGCGUGAUUAAGAUUGACCGCUAAGGACAUCUGGCUUUCGAGCGGGAUGGCCAGGAUUGCCUUAGAUUGCUUCUAACCUGUCCUCUUCGGAGACACUAUUCAAAUUUGACCUCGAAUCAGACGGGACUACCCGCUGAACUUAA